rnacentral:rRNA from 1 species
AUGGAGCAACGCGCGUGAGUGAAGAAGGUUUUCGGAUCGUAAAGCUCUGUUGUUGGUGAAGAAGGAUAGAGGUAGUAACUGGCCUUUAUUUGACGGUAAUCAACCAGAAAGUCACGGCUAACUACGUGCCAGCAGCCGCGGUAAUACGUAUGUGGCAAGCGUUGUCCGGAUUUAUUGGGCGUAAAGCGAGCGCAGGCGGAAGAAUAAGUCUGAUGUGAAAGCCCUCGGCUUAAGCGACGAACUGCAUCGGAAACUGUUUUUCUUGAGUGCAUAAGACGAGAGUGGAACUCCAUGU